AACGCACAUUGCACUCCUUGGUAUUCCGAGGAGUAUGCCUGUUUCAGUAUCAUGAGCACUCUCACACCUAACCUUUGGGUUAUGUUGUGGAAUUGGGAUGCGCCGAUUUUAACUAGUCGGCACUCCUAAAAUGUAGCUCUUGGCUGUUUCCUACUACAGCAGUUUGGCCUAAUAGUUUUGACUUUUGUCAAAUCUUUGGCUACAUUUGCUUCUGGAAAUCAGUCUUGAUAAUACAGAAAACUCAUUUCAAACUUUGAUCUGAAAUCAGGUAGGGCUACCCGCUGAACUUAA
rnacentral:misc_RNA from 1 species